rnacentral:rRNA from 1 species
AUUCCAGCUCCAAUAGCGUAUACUAAAGUUGUUGCAGUUAAAAAGCUCGUAGUUGAAUUUCUGGUCGUGGCGAUCGGUCCGCCCCUCACGGGGUGUGCACCUGGUCUCUACGUCCAUCCUCGGGGAGAGCGCGUCUGGCAUUCAGUUGUCGGGUGCGGGAUCCUCGUCAUUUACUGUGAGCAAAAUAGAGUGUUCAAAGCAGGCUUAGGCCGUUGAAUACAUUAGCAUGGAAUAAUAAGAUAGGACCUUGGUCUAUUUUGUUGGUUUGCAUUCCAAGGUAAUGAUUAAUAGGGAUAGUUGGGGGUAUUCGUAUUCAAUUGUCAGAGGUGAAAUUCUUGGAUUUAUGGAAGACGAACUACUGCGAAAGCAUUUACCAAGGAUGUUUUCAUUA